CUAAUCCCUGUGGUGCUAUGAACCCAGCAGUACAGACGAGGCCUUGUCACUGGAGGACAAAGAUCUGAGGGACCGGGAGAGGAGAAUGGCCAAUAACGCCAGGGAAAGGGUGCGUGUACGGGACAUUAACGAGGCCUUUAAAGAACUGGGACGCAUGUGUCAGAUGCACUUAAAAACGGACAAAGCACAGACCAAACUGAUCAUCCUACAGCAAGCGGUGCAGGUCAUUCUGGGCCUGGAGCAGCAAGUACGAGAGCGCAAUCUGAACCCUAAAGCAGCCUGCUUGAAGCGUCGGGAAGAGGAGAAAGUGUCCGGAGUAGUAGGAGACCCCCAGAUGACACUUUCAGCUUCACAUCCUGGUCUAGGAGAUGGUCACAACCCUGUCGGACACAUGUAAAGAUCUUUUUGUUCCUCUGGAUAGAGAGAUCUGUAGGAAGAAAACCCUCGGUGUGACCUGCAACCUUCUCGAACCAUAAACUUUAGUACUGCUAAUACUGACACACGUGGACGGAUCCUGGCAUGACGUAAGGGGUGGAAAUGUCAAAAACAAAAUGAAAACAAAAAAAUUGCCUUAAGUAUAAAGUGCGGAACAGUCAAUACAUAUCACUCAGUUAGGAGGGGGUGGCGUGUUCUCUUGGCUUGUUCACAAGCAGCCAGCAGCAAAAUUGUGCCUAAGCUUGAUAUUUCUUUUUUA